rnacentral:lncRNA from 1 species
GUCAAUGCUCACCCUUUUCUCCUCCGUGGGAGAUGAGUGCCCCAGCCUGAGCGGCCUCCAGCACUUUCUUCUCUGAACGCUUCCUCCAGUGUCACUCAGCUGCUCAUGCCCAGCCUCUACAAAUCACCUUCCUGUCUCAGAAGACACUCUUGUUAUCUUCCUGUGCGAUUUUUUGAUUAUUUAUGUUUUAUUUAUUAUUUUUAGGUGUGUGUGUGUGUCUGGGCCCUCAGGGCUGGGUAGUGGGAACUGAACUCCUCCAGCCUGCAAGAACAAGGAUAUCUAUCCCUCAUUUGUUGAGCUAUCUCUCCAGCCUCUUUCUUUGCUCUAUAUUCCCCAGAAAAAAUGCCAUCUGUCCUGGAGCUGGAGUGAUAAUGCUCUCGCUUUCAGUCCUGAUUCCUGCACCUGCUAGCUAGGUGAUCUUAGGCAAUCUACUCAUUUUAAUCUGAACCUCAGUCUUUUCAUCUGUAACAUGGGGUGAGGUAGAAUCCUUCCUUGUAGGGGUUUGAUUGAUCUGUUUGGCUUAGUGUGUAGUGUAGAGAAGUGCCUCCCACUAAGUGUUCUCGUAGUGAAUAUCAGUUUCCAUAUUAGAUGAUGGGAAUGUGGUGAUAAUCAAAUUCCAUUACUCUACAUAAAAUGUCUUAGUUCACAUGAAAGUAUGUGCAAAUUGUGGCUUUAGUGACAGUUCUGAUGUGGCCCAAUUCAAACAGUGGCUCAGACACUAGGUGUAUAAAUUGAUCCAAUCAUGUACUUUCCUAAUAUCUCAGAUUCUUCGUCAAUAAAAUGGUAAAACUUAUGAGUCUCAUGGGGUGUCUUGCCAGUCUCACUUAUUACAAAUUUACUUAUUACAAUUGUAUGUAAAGAAUAUAAUAUUCCCUACCAAAUGCUCAGUAGCACUGCUUUGUAUUGACACACAAUUAGAGAUGGUUAUAGAUUAGUUUUAUUUUGUAGUGAACGUAUUUGUUUCCAUUGUACUCAUAUUGAGUUACAAAUUACCUGAAGGAAAAUCCCGUGCUUUCUCCUUUGAUAGAACAUUCAAGUAGACAGCACUGGGAACACUGAAGGCCUUCAAGAUAGAGGGACUAGGAUGCAAUGUGCUUCUGACAGUAUUUGUAACGUAGUUACGCACUUGGUUUCUUGCUGAGACCAAGCACAUUCUGAAAUGUAUGAAGUCUAUUUAGAGACUGUAUUUUAAAAUACAAAGUUUGGGAGCUGGAAAGAUGGUGCUGUGAAGAGCACUUUCUGCUCUUGUAGAGGGCCCAGAGUGUGGUUCACAGCACCCACAUGGCUAAGACCUGUUUAUAACUCCCGUUCCAGAAGCCCUGAGGCCCUCUUCUGACCUUGAUGAGUACCGCAUGCAUGCAGUAAAACUUGCAGGCAGAAAAAUCAUAUUCACACAUGAAAUGAAAAUGAAUAAAUACUAAAAAUAUAUAAUCUAAAUUUUCUUUUAAUAACACUUCUUUUACAGUAAUCUAGUUUAAAGGUUUUUGCAGGAACAUUUUAUUUUUUGUAUUUUUAAAAAUUUAAUUUAAUUUUUUAAUUAUUUACUUUACAUCCCAGCUCACUGGCCUCCUCCAGGUCACCUGUCACCCCUUCCACCACCCUUUCCCCUUCCCUCUUCUCCCUCCCCUUCUCCUCUAAGCAGAUGGGCGCCUCCCUAGGUAUCCCCCCUCCCAGCACUUCAAGUGGGAGGGGGGGUGCAGACGGUGGACUAGGCGCUUCCUCUCCCACUGAGGCCAAACAAGGCAGCCCAGCUAGAAGAACAUAUCCCAUGUCCAGGCAACAGCUUUUGAGAUUGCCCUCAUGUAGGAACAUUUUUGUAGUGAGAAACAUUCAAAGACAAAGAUAGAGUUCACUGCAAUAUAGUAUUAAUAACCCCCCUCCUCCCAAUGAUUUGUCAGAGCUCCAACAGACACUUUGGUGGAAUAGACAAUUUUUGUGCAAUAUUUUUGUUUAUAGUAUUUGACAUAACAUGCCUUAAUAAAUCUAAUCCUUAAGGCUGUGCAUUUUAAAGACAAGGACAUUUCUACUACUCCCCUUUGUGCUGGGAAUUUAACCUAGGGCCUCCUCACACACGCUAGGCAAAGACACUACCAUUUAACUGUGUUAUCUGCCCUCGACUAAUGCUCUUUAGCUGUAACAGAGAAAAAGAGAAAGUGCCAUUUGUCAAUCAAUCCAAGGCCACGGUGGGAACUGCCAAACAUUUGGCGGGAUUCCUGCACACAUCUGAGCAUCCUCUCUGCUGUCACCCAGACUGUUUACUGUGCCUCGACUGUAACGGGCUCUCAGCAGACAGCGUUGGCUGCAUUCGCUGUCACUGUUAGGCACACACACCAUAUUUGGGAGACUCGGAGUCUGUUGAAGAAUUCCGCUGUGUCUUCAUCUGCAUCUGCCCACAGAUCAUUCUGUAUUAGUGUAAGCCUGUACGUCAGUAGGCUCAGGAUAUCUUAUUUGGCCUCUUGUUAUUUUUUUUUUAAAUAUCCUAAGGGUGGCCGACAUUUGAUAUUGUGUAUGUAAUUACGAGUUCUGAAAAGCUGUUUUAAUUAGGCAUGCUUAGUGAGGAGAGAGGAGGACGGUGGGACAUGUCUCAUAUGCUCAUCUUUGGUCUUAGAUAUUCUGUUGUUUUGAUCCAAACUGUUAGGUUAGUUAGUAUCCGUCAAAUGCUUACUUGUUCUAACCUCAGUCUAUAUUUUGUCUAUCCUCUGGGCGUGGUUAGAGCCGUUAGCUGUUACUAGGUGAUGUGAAGACAACAGUAAGCUGACGGCCUUCAGAAACAGUUCAUGUGGUAGAUGGUGCAUUUUAAAACUUCUCGGUAGGAGUGAUGACUUCUUGAUAUUCAUUUUACAUUUGCGCGUUCUCAUCCUUAGAAAGCCUUUACUGCUACACUGCCAAGCAUGCCGUAGUUACUGUUUUCACAAAAGAAAACUUCAUUAUAAGCUUGACAUAAACGUGCGACAUGAGUCUCUGUUUACAUUGAUUUCAUUGCUAAAUUUAGCAAGCUAUAUUUCUGUAAUGUAGUAAAUCAUUUUAAUUUUAUUAUGCUAAUUCUAUUAAUUCCUAAUUUCAUAAUGUUAGUAGAACACGAAGGAGGACCUUAGGAGACUACUUGUCCAUGCAUAUAAAUUCAAUGUUGUACGUAUACUCCAAGUAAUAUUUUUUUUUUGUUUAAGAAAGAUGUCAAAACUGAGGCUUGCUAAUUUUGUUUUUGACAUCAAGCAGUUAAGAAAUUAUCUGAGCCUCUCAACUUUAUGCCUACUUUCUUGACUUGGAAUUAAAAUUGAGAUUAGAUGGAGGGAAUGAAGAUCCAAUUCUACUUUGCUGAUUUGGCUGUUUGCAACCAAUUGAACAUCAGUAACACCAAAAUGGCAAAAAAAAAGAACAUUUUCAGAAAAAAAAUGCGAGUUGCUUUUGUUCUCUAUGUAAGACUGAACACAGGAUGUAAUAUUCAGAUCGCUUUGUAUCUUGUUUCUGCAUUAUACAUAUCUGAUGAAGAGGUCCCCACGUGUGCUUGGAAUUAGAGAUGGUUUUUAGCCACCAUGUGGGUGCUGGGGACGGAGCCAGGUCCUCUGCUAGAGGAGCCGGUGAGCUUCACUGCUGAGCUUUCUCUCCAGCCCCAUAUUCUUUUCUUUUCUAUUAAUUUUUUUCAUAUGAUACGUUCUGAUCACACUUUCUAUUCUUAACUCCUACCAGAUCCUUUCCACCUCCUCAUCCCUAAAAUUCCCACCUUUCCCUUUUCAGAAAACAAACAGGC